GCAGCGCGCCCGGGCCGCCCGCACCCUCGCCGAGGCUUUCUCCACCGGAAAGGUGAGGCAGGUGGCGCCGUCUCAGAUGUCCCUUGGCGCCCGUUAAAGGUCUGAGGGUGUCAAGCUCCUUGCGCGCCCUGCGUUUCGCUUCCGUAAGGCGGAGGACCGGAGCGGCCCCAGUCGGCCUCCCCAAGGACCGGCCGAGUCGCCGGCACAGGUGUCCCCGCGACCCACACGCGACACCACAGCCCCCGGGUCACGCGCGCGGUCACCGGCGUUGGCGGGGACCUGGGCAGGGGCGCUCCUGGCGCAGUGAUCCGGCGGGUAGAGGCUGCUCGUCUUCAAACAGAUGCUGAGCCCCGCGUGGACGGUUCCCUUCUCGGCCCGACCCCACCCCCACGGGAGAGCGCGCUCACCCGCCGGAGAAAACCCGCCCGGGCCGCCCACCUCGGCUCUGCCUGCGAGCGCAAGAGACUGACACCAACCAAAUGCUCGUCGGAAAGGGGAUCGUCAACUACGUGGGCAUUUUCAUGACACGAAAAUCCAAGCAGGGAGCCGGAGCUGUUUGAGAUCCGUGGGUUCACAGCACCUGGGUGUCAGGCAAUUCACAAGUGCUAAUAUCACAGUUACCAUAGGACAAUCCUAUGAGGUAGAUGACAUUAGAUUCAACUUACAGAGGAAGAAACAAGAGUUCAGGGAAAUGAGGAAACUUGCCCAAGACCAAUGAAGCGGAAAUCUGAGGUCCGGAGAGGCUAGAUCCACCCCACAUCAAGCAUUUCUUGCGGGCCUGCUUUGUGCCAUGCACUGAAAGGUGUCUCAUCAGAAGCCAUCUCAAAUCCUUUGUGGAAUAACAUGGGAGUAUAAGUGAAUAAGUGAAUAUAAUAUAUUCUACUUUAAACCAA